CAGCUCUGUGGCCUUGGAUCAUCCAUGCAUCGAACGAGGAAGGAGAAUCGACAAUCCAAAGCUUGCAAUUUUCCGGCGAAGUCUUCUCUAAAUUCCGACGACUCCGACGGCCGAUUUAACUCCAUGGGAACUCGGAAGUGUGGCUGGUUGAGCUGAAAUCGUUGGCUGGGCUGAGCUGAUAGUUCCAGAAUUCGUUAAGUUUGGAAACUGACGAGAAAAGAGAGAGUCCAUUGUCGUGUUUUCACCAGAAAGCUAAUGUGAAGGAGUUUGAGUUCCAGUCUGCAAAUCAGACAUAACAAAGGAGUCCUUGUGUUCACUCAAGAUACAUGGAAAAUACAGCAGCAAUACCAUCUAGCUUUUCACAUAUUGAGUGCUUCACAGAAGGUUUUUAUUAAGUUCCUCAUUCCAGCUCCUGCCAUUACUCCCAGCUGCACUAUGCUCAUUUCAAGAUGGCUCUCCAAGCAACUGAAAAAGGUUGGUUUUCCAAGUCACUUUAUCAUGCUUAUAUCUAUGUGUAUUUUGGUGUGUGCUCAUUUAUAUGUAUAUGACAUUUUUGUAUGUGUUUGUGAUAUUAAAUGAUUGACUGUUUAUUUUGCGGCAACAAGUGGUAUCAGAGCCACAAAUCAUUUUGCACAAAUCGUUGUUUACAUGUUAUGUUUAUUUUCAGAAAUGUUUCUUUUUGAUGGAAAUGAAAUGAAACAAACAUUUGGGCUUAGACCCGUUUCUGGACCCAAAGAGCAUGACCCAACCCAUUUUAAAACAAGUGGAUCUUCUUAACCCGUAACCUUAUUACGGACCCUUACUUAAAAAAAAGUCAUCGUCAUCAUCUUCUAGUGGUCCUUUUUCUGGAGAAAGAACGCUGAAUUGAUUUUGUUGAAUUCGGAUUACUCGGCUCGAAUUGAUUGAUGAGACUUUCUCAGACUGGUUCGAUAACAUGUUGUAUGUAUAGAAUUGCUUCCACUAACACUUGUUUUGCAGCGCUGGAAAGCAUCCGGGUAUGUUUUCUGUGAAGAUUGAAAUUUAUGUUAAUUUCACUUUGAAUUACAUGUUAAGAACCCUAGAGCUCUCCUGGGGGGGCAUUUAAGCUACUAGGUUGGUGCUCAGAUGAAAUUUAAACUUCGAAUUGUUUGAUGAUUGUUUUUCAUGUUGGUUGAUUAUAUUUGCUUAUAUAUUGAACAACAUGUGGAUGAAUGAUUCCUUGAAAAUUGCUUUCAAUGAAAUGGUAUGAUUAUAUAAUUGCUUGAUGACAUGAUCGUAAAUCCACUUGUGAGAAUUUUUGACCUUUAAAUGAUUGUAACUAUCUCCCCGUUGCAAGUUUGAUUGUCAAGUUUUUGUAUUGCAAGUAAAAGAGAGCUCCUAGUAAACACAUGUUUAUGGUCUGGAGCAUAUGGAUCUCAGUUUCAGUUUUUGAAUAUCAACUUGAGUCUUUUGGACCCAAUUGUGUGAGAUUUGAAUGUUGAGGAGUUAUUUGUUAAAAUUAGGAUGUUAGGGACUGAACUGUUGACGCACCCAAAGUACAGGGUGUGACCAGUAAUUUCCAAAAAAAAAAAAAAAAACCCUUAGCCCACCCACACUUAGAUACGUAAGUGAGAAUCGCACCCAUGACUUCUAUAAUGUUGGAAUUAUAAUUUACCAACAGGUCACAUCUCACGACAAAAAAUAAAUUCAGAUAUGUAUCUAAGUAAGAGAUAUAAGUUUACGGAUUAGUUUUCUUCUAUAUUGUAGUUAUAAACAAUCGAGAUGCAUAUGGUGAGAAGAACUCCAUAUAUGAGCUAUACUGAAAUGCUGAAUUUUUGAGCUCUUAAUACAUCUACCACAAAAUUGCGUAAUGUUUACCUUAGAAUAAGGUUACAAUAGUGGUUUGUCAACCAACAACACACACA